rnacentral:piRNA from 1 species
UAGAAUCAGAUUUGUGUGGUAGAAAU